UUUUCUUCUUUUAAAUAUAGUCUCCUCCUUUACUGUGUUGAUUCCCUUUAUGUAUUUAAAUGUUUCUAUCAUAUCCCCCCUGUCUCGUCUUUCCUCCAAGCUAUACAUGUCAAGAUCCUUUAACCUUUCCUGGUAAGUUUUAUCCUGCAAUCCAUGAACCAGUUUAGUAGUCCUUCUCUGAACUCCCUCUAAGGUAUCAAUAUCCUUCUGAAGAUACAGUCUCCAGUACUGCGUACAAUACUCCAAGUGAGGUCUCACCAGUAUUCUGUACAAUGGCAUGAGCACUUCCCUCUUUCUACUGCUAAUACCUCUCCCUAUACAACCAAGCAUUCUGCUAGCAUUUCCUGCUGCUCUAUUACAU